rnacentral:tRNA from 1 species
UCCCUGGUGGCUCAAUCGGUAAAGCGUCUGCCUACAACGUGGGAGACCCAGGUUCAAUCCCUGGGUUGGGAA